CGAAGUGGAGUAUGUGUACCUGCAAAGGCAUAUUAAGGUGCUCAAACCUCCAGUGUCUGAAAGCAGUCUUUAUGCUUUAUUCUUGUUAAUGAGGACUCGUUGAGGAGAAAUGUAUGGGAAGACAGUGGAGAAAACAGGCUCAUUCAUUUCUUUGUUAGUGCAGCUAAAUAUAAUGCAGAAUACAGUCUGAUUUCCUUAAAACUCAUUAGGCAUGUGAAGGCCGCACUGAAUGAGGGAAUGAGCUCUUUUACCAUUUUGUAAAAAUGUCUAAUUAAUUUUCCUUUGUCACUUUCAAUAUGUUUCUAUUACAUGCUUGGGACUGCUGAGGCUCCCAACGGUGACCGAAUUUUGCAGCUGAAAAUUGCUGUCUUUAAGUAAUUCUAAGAUUUUCUUGCUGAAAACUCGUAAGCACACAUCAGAAGCUGGUUGUGGCCACACAAAGACCCUAUUUGGUUAUGCUUAUUACUUUUACAUUGUCUUGAAUUCUAUUUGUUUAUUUAGAAUAAUUGCAAAGUUUUGGAAAAGUCACCUGCAAUAUUUUCCUCCACACUGUAAAUGAAGAUUAUAUGCUUCUGAAAUAUUCUUCUCAUAGACAAACACACAGGAGCAAGGGAUCCUAUGGACUACACACUCUUUGGCAGAAAUGAGCUCUGCAGUGUGUUCAGUUCAUCCAAUUACCUGCUAAGUUACAGGUAGUGCCCAAUACCAUGUGCAGAAGGCGCCAGAAUACACUGUCAUCAGAGAUUGUCAUGGAUAAUGGUCACCUGUGUCACCUGCAUGGGAGUAACUGACUGGAUAAUCAACACUUCCAAUGUCACUGGUAACCAAUGGAAUGCUUUUACCAAUGACUGUCAUUGUAUUUGAAAAACAAAAAUUACUACUACAGAAGUCCUAAAAUCAGCUAUUCUGCAUGUGAUCACAUUUAGAAAGGUGGAAGAAUAACAUGAGAACCUUUUAAUUAAAAUUGUCAUUACCUCAAAUGCUGUGAAAAACAUGUCAACAUUUAUGGCAAAUGGAGCAUGAAACACAGCACUGUGAAYAUGAUGGUCAAAU